CGGACGUACUUUCGUGAGCUCUGACUAUUGAUGAAAAGUUUUCGCGUUAUAGAAUAGCGACUUGGUACUCAGGUUGUUGAAUGACUGGAUGACUGAAGUGUUAGGUUAUUGUUAUGAGAUAACAACUUGACUUUGACUUGAGUUGUGAAAUGAAAUCAUACUCUUAUGCGAUGAUAACUUUUGAACGUUUAGUACUGACUGACAACGAAUUUUUGUGAGCGUUAUAUAUGAAAUGUUUGACUUACAUUAAUUUUUUUGAACGACUUGACUUCAAUUUAAGUUUUGACAUCGGACUGAUCGGACGUGUUUUUUUAAGCCCUGACUGUUGUGAAUAAUUAAAUUUAUGUUGUGGUGUCAAGCGAUUGACUGUCAGUUGAGGUUCAGAUGUCGAGCUGUGCGGACGUGUUCAUCGAGCUGCUGUCUACAAAAAACGUGAGUACAAAUUUUUUUCGUUUUACUGUUUACAAGUUGCGUGAUGAUGUAUGAUGGUUGUAAUGUGUUGGGUAGAAAUUACUCAGUGCUGAUACAGUGUCGAUAUGUUGUGAUGAGCGAUAAUAGUGGAUGAUGGUGGAACAGAAUAUUCAUUGAGCUAUUUUGAGGAAGCGAACAUAUGAUGGAAAAAUGUUGCAAAAAUAUUAAAUGACAAUGUAUUGAAUCGCUUUUGUUGAUAUGUAUGAUAUUGAUUAAAUUGUAUUUGCAUGCUGUAACAUUUCUAUUCCAUUUCAGGGGGCUGUGGUGAGUAUUGUAGUAUAAAUUUGUUUCAAUAAAUCAUGAUGAAUGAAAACUGAUUUUGAUUCGUUUUGUACAGGUUUACUUGUAUAGAAGUGUAAUGCGUUGGGUAGAAAUUAGAAUCUACUCAGUACUGAUAUAGUGUCGAUAUGUUGUGAUUAGCGAUGAUGGUGUAUGAUGGUGGAACAGAACAUGAGCUACUUUGGGGAAACGAACAUAUGAUUGAAAAAUGAUUGCAAACAUAGUAGAUGAAUGAUAUGAUAUUGCUUAAAUUGUAUUUGCAUGCUGUAACAUUUCUAUUUCAUUUCAGGGUGCUGUGGUGAGUACUGUAGAUUGUAGUGCAUAUGUAUAGAAUUCAAUAAACGAUGAUGAAUGAAAACUGAUUUCGAUUCGUUUUGUGUAAUUUUAGGUAUUUUCACUCUAUCACAACUCUGUCGGUUGGUGUUCAUGAGUGUGAGACUAAUACAGCAAUGUUUGAGUAGUACAAAAAUGUUUUCGCUUUUGUGGUCGCCAGCUGUCCGUGAUCUGUAAAGUGAAAAUACACAGAGCUAUGAAGCAUACAGAUGUUUCGAAAUUUUAUCAAUGAUUGUAUACUAUGCAUGUUUUGAUUUAGUUCGUUUCAGAUUUGACAUGAGAUGAAAACCUGACAUGAUUUGAACAGAGCUGGGAAACGAAAAGGUAAGUCUGUUUCAUUCCACUAUGAACACUUGUAUUUUGACAAAAGAAGAGAUAAAGUGAGUUACUUUAUCAUCAUGGUUUCAUUUAGUGAACAGAGGUAAACCUAGCUAGCUUUUCGUGUACUCUAUUUUGGAUGAUGAGUAUGUCAGUAACUUUAAUUGUACGGCUAGUAAAGUAUGAACAUGAAUGCUUUGUUCAGAUUUUCAGAUGUGUGCUGGCAGUUCAAGUCUGGCAGCUGGAGUGAACAGUCGUGUUUUCUGGAGCUCCAACAAUAUGCUAGAAGGUAAGUAACUAUGUUUGUUUUGCAUUGCAUGUUUUUAUAUGUUUCAGACUUUCAAGCAGAGAUGUCAUGCUGACUGGAGUUGAGCACAGGGCAGUGACAAAGUGAAAGGUAAGUACUUUUGACUGAAUGUUUGUUCUAUGCAUGUUUUGUUUUAAUACAUUUCAGGAGUGCUUAUCCAGUGAUGAUAUGACAGUUGGAGUGAACAGUGGAGCCAAGCAGUCUUGUUUUUGGAGCUACUCAACAAGCCUUGAAGGUAAGUUUAGAAUUUCUCAAUGUUAGUGAAUUGAAGUACUGUCACUUGCUUUUGGACAGUCGAACAGAACAGACGUGGUUGCGAGAGCUCUCAUAUCUGUUGUGUUAAACUGUUUUUAUGAUAUGUUAUGUUUGUUUGUUUGUUUGUGAUGUACUAUUUUUCAGAUGCUGAUGGCAGUGAUGGGUUUUCAAGCUGACCUGAACAGAAAAGCACUCAUAUGGUAAGUACAAAAUAGUUGUUAUAUGGGAUGUUUUGUGCAUGCUUUUAUGUUUCAGGUGUACUUGCUGACAGCGACGAAGACGAAUCAAGAAGAGGAACAUUGUUGAGAAAGUGAUUGGGACUUGCAAACAGGGUAAGUGUAACACUUGUGUUUGUUUAAUUUGUAACAUGCGUGCUUUGCUCUGUUUCAGAUUUCACAUGCAGAAAUUAAACAGGAUUUCAACUGCUGAGACACAAUUCAUCAAAAGUAAGGUAAGUUUUAAUUCAUUGAUUUGAGUUGUACAAUGUGUUCUUUACUUUAUUUCAGAUUCGAGUCACUGGUUUACACAUGGAAGAAGAUUUCCACGUCUGUUACUCAACUCUACAGAAGCAAGAUGUUUUGUUUCAGUUGAUGUCCAGAUGGCAAGCAGUACAGACGUGUUUCUUGGAGCUGCCAAACAGUGAGUACAAACGUUUUAUAUUUUUCAGUUGUUUACUCAUAGAAGUCUGUGAAAGAUGAUAACAAGGGUUGAAUCUAUCAGCACUUGUGUCUAAAAAUGCUGAUGUGUGACGGUUUACUGAAAAGGGUAAAUGCUAGCCAGUACUUACACUUGAGCAACCGUGGGAUGUCGAACUAACUGAUGAUGUACUAUGAUGGUGAACACUUACUAUGUGUAUCAAAAUGCUUUUGUUGAUAUUUACUAUAGAUGAUUUGAUAUUGGUUAACAUUUGUUUGCAUGCUGUUAACAUUUCUAUUUCAUUUCAGGGAGCUGUGGUAAGUAUUGUAGUAUUAAUUUGUCUCAAUAAACGAUGAUGAAUGAAAACUGAUGUCGAUUCUUUUUGUACAGUUUUAGGUAUUAGCACUCUAUACAAAACUCUGUCGGUCGGUGUUUGUGAAUGUGAGCUUAAUGUUUGAGUAGAACAAAAAUGUCUUUACUUUUGUGAUCGCCAGUUGUCUGUGAUGUAAAGUGGAAAAAACACAGCUAUGAAGCAUACAAUUGUUUCAAUAUUUUAUCAAUGAUAGUGUGCUAUGCAUGUUUUGAUUUAGUUCGUUUCAGAUACGACAUGACAUGAAGAGUUGACAGUCGAACAGAGCUGAGCAAAGCAGAAAGGUAAGUGUGUUUCAUUUUAGUAUGAACACUUGUAUUUUGUUUUUAUAUGGUAUGUUUUGUGCAUGCUAUGUUUCAGGUGUACUUGUAGUCAGCGACGAAGACGAUUCAAGAAGAGGAACAUUGCUGAGAAAGUGAAUGGGACUUGCAAACAGGGUAAGUGUUACAAUUGUUUGUUUGAUUUUUACCAUGCAUACUUUGCUUUGCUCUGUUUCAGAUUUCACAUGCAGAAAUGGUCUCAUAGCAGUGCCAACAGUGAAUAAGGAUUUCAGCUGCUGUGAAACAACUCAACAGAAAGUAGGUAAGCAUUGAAUGAAUGCACUUGAGUUGUACAAUUUGAUGUGAUGCUUUUUUUCUGUUUCAGAUUCAAGUUUCUGGUGUAGACAGAAAAAUGUGUUUGAAGAAGGAAUUCUACUACUGUGAUUCAACUCUACAGAAGCAAGGUUUCAAUUGCAGAGAUGUUGCAGAGAUGUUUUGACAGCUUGUGACAGAAAAGAAAUUCAGCAGCUGUGUCUCGACUCUAGCCACGAGGUAAGUCAAAACAAAUAUACUGGUUUGUAUGUUAUGUUGUUAUGCCCUUCUAUGUUUCAGACUUACAUUGCUGUGACUGUUCCACAGUGGGUCAAAAAAGAGACGAAUACAGGUUUCAAGAAGAAAAUUGGCUGUUGAAAACCUGCACAAAAUAUGAGGUAAGUAAACUAUUCUUUUGGUUUGUUUUGUGCUUUGUUAUGCUUAACUAUUUUUCAGAUUGGAAUGGUGGGUCGUUACAGAGCAGACUUUUGGACAACUGAGAAGUUGAGAAACAGAGAAUGAUUCAAGAUCAGCUAGGUAAGUCUUGAUUAUUGUGCAUUGCUAAAUGUUUUUUUUCAUUCCAGUAUGGCUGUGGUAAGUACACAAACUUUCUAUAAUUUAAUAUUGAACUGUUUUUAUGACCUGUAUUCUGCAUUGUAAAAUGUCUGUUUUUCAUUUCAGUAUCCUGUGGUAAGUACACUAACUUUCUUUAAUUUUCAUAUUGAACUGUUUUGAUGACUUGUAUACUACUAUGCAAUGCCUAAUGUUUUUUUCAUUUCAGUUGCCUGUGGUAAGUACACUAACUUUCUUUAAUUUUCAUAUUGAACUGUUUUGAUGACUUGUAUACUACUAUGCAAUGCCUAAUGUUUUUUUCAUUUCAGUAGCCUGUUGGUAAGUACACUAACUUUCUAUAAUUUCAUAGUGAAUUGUUUUGAUGACCUGUAUUCUGCAUUGUAAAAUGUGUUUCUUUUUCAUUUCAGUAUGGCUGUGGUAAGUACAAUUGCCUUUCAUAUUGAACUGUUUUGAUGACCUGUAUUUUGCAUUGCUAAAUGUUUUUUUCAUUUCAGUAUAGCUGUGGUAAGUACACUAACUUUCUUUAAUUUUCAUAUUGAACUGUUUUGAUGACUUGUAUUCUGCUAUACAAAAUGUGCUUUUUUCAAUUUCAGGUCAGCAAUGGUAAGUAUAUUGUGUUUCUUUAUGUAUAAUUUUGUAUACAUAUUGUUUUUUUCAUCAUAGCAUGUUUUUUAUAUUUAUGCUUUGUGUAAGUAAAAUGUUCAUAAAUCAUUCUUAUCUUUAAACUAAAAAUGUAUUUUGAUAUGCAAAAUGUCUGUAUGAUUUCAGUUGCCAGAGGUGAGUACCAUUACAGUUGAAAAGUUAGUUUUGUUUAGUUAAAGUUUUGGUUCACAGUUCUGUUUAUUAUUUGGCAAAAUUUACAUGUAUGCAUUGAGUCUUGAUUUCAGCUCGAUUGUGGACUGAAGAAGAUUGCCAGCAGAGGGAUUGGAUACAAAAUACAAAGUAAGUACUGAGUUUCUUACUAAAAGUUUUGAGUUGUAUUCAUUGUGUGUUAAUAUGCUAUGAUUGCUAUGAACAUGACUUUUGUAUUUCAGCGAAGACAACAUAGGUAAGUAAAAUUGUUAUCUGUUUCAAGUUUACUGUUAUAGUUCAAUAUUGUGUUUAUAAAUUGUAAGUUGUACAAACACAUUCAAAAGUUUCUGAUCAUGCUUUCAAUUUCAUUUCAGCCCUACUACAAGACGAGUGUUUUCUACUACUAGACGUGUCAGGUUUACUUCCAGGCGAGCAGUGACAACAAGGCGCCUUUGUGGAAACAGCAAAACAAACAACUCUACUGCAAGACGAGCAGUAACAGCAAGGCGCCUGAACAUGCAACACAAUACAAAAAAUGCCAAUUUGCAAACCUUGAUGUGGACACCGAGUAGUCAAUACAUACGUGUGGCGUAUAGCUGCGACAAAACCGUGGGUCCAUCGCACCGAUAACUUGAACAUUGGCCCGUGUAUGGACAUCAGUGCAACUUUGUGAAUCCAUGUAACUUUGUGAAUCCAUGUAACAUUGCGAAUGUGUGUCGAUCGAAAAAUGUGUACAUUCUGCACUGAAACGAACUCGGUGUUGCAAGUGGCAAGUGUUGACAGUGUGUAUGUUUAUGUUUAUGUUUUUACAUGAAAAAUAAAGGAGAUUGUUCUCCUACCUUUUUUUUCCUUGUUUUAUUGUGCUGGCCAGCAAUAUUGAUGUAUUGAUGUAUUGAUGUAUGUGUUUGUGUAUUAACGAUGUAUUAACUAUGCAUUACCAAAAUCAAACAAAACUUUGGCACAAGAGACUCUAAGUAUCAAAUACCAACAAUUUAAGCGCAGACAAUCACAUGGUGGUACACCAGUCCGAAUAUACUCAUUGCUCUAGCCAGGAUUGCAAAUUACUUGUGUUGACUAGCAAGGCUCCCUAGUAACGGAGCAGUGUUACUGGCGUUUUUUGGGUCGAUAGUGCUUAGGUGAGGUUUUGCUCGAAUCGGGAGCGGGUCACUCGCUUGGGCGAGUUAGUUUUCGCUCGUAGUUUCCAAUCUGGCUAGAUCAAUGUAAGGUUGUUUUGACUGCUAUUUGGCAAGCAGAAAGACAACAGCGGUUAAUUGACUGAGUAUGGGCGACCGAGGUAUGUAGGUGUCAAUAGACCGACUCCACAAGUUGCGAAGCGAACCGAUAGCACUUGAGGGGAAACGCCUCGGUUUUCGGUUCUAACAUGUGUUAUCCAUGCUGUCGUUAUACUCUGGCAAGGCUCCUCAAUCUAUCGCGAGGGACACUCAUUAUUGCCCGCAAGCUUUAGAACCUGACGUGGGUCGAUGCGUAUGCGAGUCCGAGGACGCGAUGGCAUUUGAUAAGGCUACCAACCGGUUGAUAACACGCAUUGUUCAAAUUGUUAGGUUUAAGUCUGCUAGGGCUGGGGUGGGAA